ensembl:ncRNA F29G9.13 ncRNA
UUUUCCCCUCUGCUUGGGGUGGGUGUCUCUCUAAGCUUUUAGGUGAAGACUGGGAAGGUAGGGUGUACGAAAGAGCGAGGGAUGUAGAUACAAUAUUGCGUGAUGACUAAUAUAUUUACUUUG